GCAGCCUGAUGCAGCAACGCCGCGUGAGGGACGACGGCCUUCGGGUUGUAAACCUCUUUUAGUAGGGAAGAAGCGAAAGUGACGGUACCUGCAGAAAAAGCACCGGCUAACUACGUGCCAGCAGCCGCGGUAAUACGUAGGGUGCAAGCGUUAUCCGGAAUUAUUGGGCGUAAAGAGCUCGUAGGCGGUUUGUCGCGUCUGCUGUGAAAACUGGAGGCUCAACCUCCAGCCUGCAGUGGGUACGGGCAGACUAGAGUGCGGUAGGGGAGAUUGGAAUUCCUGGUGUAGCGGUGGAAUGCGCAGAUAUCAGGAGGAACACCGAUGGCGAAGGCAGAUCUCUGGGCCGUAACUGACGCUGAGGAGCGAAAGCAUGGGGAGCGAACAGGAUUAGAUACCCUGGUAGUCCAUGCCGUAAACGUUGGGAACUAGAUGUAGGGGCCAUUCCACGGUUUCUGUGUCGCAGCUAACGCAUUAAGUUCCCCGCCUGGGGAGUACGGCCGCAAGGCUAAAACUCAAAGGAAUUGACGGGGGCCCGCACAAGCGGCGGAGCAUGCGGAUUAAUUCGAUGCAACGCGAAGAACCUUACCAAGGCUUGACAUAUACCGGAAAAGUUCAGAAAUGUUCUCCCCGCAAGGUC
rnacentral:rRNA from 1 species